AGGACAGUGUAUGGUGGGCAGUUUGACUGGGGCGGUCUCCUCCUAAAGAGUAACGGAGGAGUACGAAGGUGCGCUCAGACCGGUCGGAAAUCGGUCGUAGAGUAUAAAGGCAAAAGCGCGCUUGACUGCGAGACAGACACGUCGAGCAGGUACGAAAGUAGGUCUUAGUGAUCCGGUGGUUCUGUAUGGAAGGGCCAUCGCUCAACGGAUAAAAGGUACUCCGGGGAUAACAGGCUGAUACCGCCCAAGAGUUCAUAUCGACGGCGGUGUUUGGCACCUCGAUGUCGGCUCAUCACAUCCUGGGGCUGAAGCCGGUCCCAAGGGUAUGGCUGUUCGCCAUUUAAAGUGGUACGCGAGCUGGGUUUAGAACGUCGUGAGACAGUUCGGUCCCUAUCUGCCGUGGACGUUUGAGAUUUGAGAGGGGCUGCUCCUAGUACGAGAGGACCGGAGUGGACGAACCUCUGGUGUUCCGGUUGUCACGCCAGUGGCAUUGCCGGGUAGCUAUGUUCGGAAAAGAUAACCGCUGAAAGCAUCUAAGCGGGAAACUUGCCUCAAGAUGAGAUCUCACUGGGAACUUGAUUCCCCUGAAGGGCCGUCGAAGACUACGACGUUGAUAGGCUGGGUGUGUAAGCGUUGUGAGGCGUUGAGCUAACCAGUACUAAUUGCCCGUGAGGCUUGACCAU
rnacentral:rRNA from 1 species